UGCACUUAUUUCUCUUUCUUUUUAAGUCAUAAACUUGUUCCUCAAGGUUAUUCCUCUUUCCAUAUCUCUAAGAUACUCCCUUGCUUUCCAAGUCUACACGAUUCCAGCUCAGCAUCUUGACUCUACAUGGUCUUCACCAUUUAACCCGACGUCUAUUUCAGCAACUACGUCAGCGAUUACUUCAGGGUAGACAUCUUACAUCUUCAACAUGUGUGUGUUUAAUUGUUUGUUGUGUUUUUUUGUCGGCUUUCUAUUAUUUUGUCAAUAAUCGAGAAAUGAUUCAUAAUAAUUCUCUCAUUAUUAUUUAUAAAUUUAAUUAGUGGUGAAGGCAUGGGAUAAAAUUUCACGUAACAAAGAUAUCGGAUCCGGAUCACGCUAACCGAAUGAUCUAUAUAAUUUUCUAUUAAAAUCGGUUUGAUUACUGGUAACCGGUCACGCGAGACCGGCAGAUGUCUCUAAAAAGACAAAAGAGUUUUAUCCUUUUUUAGCCAAACUCUCCGCUUUUUAGUACCGUCUUCAUUUUUUCAACGCCUUAGCUUUUACGAUAGACGAAGAAUCUUAACUUUCUUGUUUUACAGAAGAAGACUCUCUCCGUCUACCAAAGAAGUGACUCAUGGUUCACAUUCGAGUUGCCUCUCUGCAGUGUUAACAACGAUGAGGAUGUGCCUUUUCAAAAUCAAUGACUGGCAAGUGGCUUUCACGAAUUUGAACUGUUUCUUGGUAAAUUUUGGGCUAUAUAUGUGUUUUUUUAGAUAAUGGAUGCUUAAAUUGUGCUAUCUUCUCACCAGGUUGGUUCAAGCUCAGUAUCAAGAAACAGUGCUACGGCCAGUGAGCAUUUGUUUAACAGAAAUGCGGCUCGAGUUGAUUGGAGAAUUGACAACCCUAUCUCAGACAUAUUGAUUGAUUCGUUUGGUCGGUUAUAUACCUACUUGAGGAUAUCUUUGACAGAACGGUCAACGCUGUAACCUCCGGUGUCAGUAUUGUAGGCCGUCUGAAGGCGUGGAGCUUACUCCAAAGCUUCAGUUUCUGUCUCAGUCAGAUAUUGUUAGGUUGGCUGGUCUUUUUGUUUCUUGGGUUACCAAGAUUAGGUUGACCGGUGGCUAGCCUACUUUUAGGAAAGAUAUCGAAGAGAAGAAUUUUGCCAACUGAGAAGUUGACUUAGUGUAUGAAUCCCUUGGGUCACUUAGCUGGAGUAUAAGGGAUCAUAGUAAAGCGAUAUUUGAUGCUAAUGUGUUGUCAACUUGUCAUGGAGGGGUUGAAUGAUGAUGCAAUUUGUGAUUUUGUAAAGUUGACACGAAAUAAGCCUAUCAAUGUCCGGUUCAUAGCGCUUAUCCAUUUCAUGAUGGAAAUGUUUGGAAUGUAAAGAAACUUGUGCCUUACGCAGAUAUCAUGUAUGAUAAAGUGGUAAUGUAAAGUUCUUUUAAUGUUUAGCCCUUUUGAGAUUAAUUCGUCGACCUUUCCUUUGAGCAUAUUCAUGAAAUACUUCUCCAAUCGAGCAAAAGGAAAGUUAAUAUCAAUGGCGACCAAAAGAACUAUAAUAUCAAUAAAGGAUUAUACUAAAUUAUAAACAUACUAAAUUGUUUUGGAAUGUACAUGGUACGGCUUAAUACUGUAUCUACAUAGAGUACUGACAAAUUUUACAUCAAUAUAACGAAUCAAUCAUUCAAACUGG